AAUAAAUGAAUAAAAUUAAAAAUUUUUUUUUUGCUUCUCUUUGAUGUAUAAAAAAGUCAGAACAUUUCUUCUUUCUAAAUAAUUUGUUUUUCAGAUUGUUUUUUAUUUUAGGAAUAUCAAGUCUGGUCUUCCUUCCUGUGACGCUCUGUACCUCGGGGGAACACCCAGCACCCCCAUGUUCAUCUUUAUAAAAUGAUUGUGACCUUGCAUACUACAGAUGUAGAAGCUGAUCUUCUUUUUUGAGAAGCUGACAGAUCUUUUAGACAAAGGAAAUGCAAUGAAUCUAAUUUACUCCGAUUUCAGUAAGGCAUUUGACAUGGUUCCACAUGGGGAAUUAUUAGAUAAAUUGGAAAACAUGAGGAUCAAUAUGAAAAUUGAAAGGUGGAUAAGGAACUGAUUAAAGGCGAGACUACAAUGGGUCGUACUGAAAGGUGAACUGUCAGGCUGGAAGGAGGUUACUAGUAGAGUUCCUCGGGGAUCAGUUUUGGGACCAAUCUUAAUCUUUUUACUACUGACCUUAGCACAAAAAGUGGGAAUGUGUUAAUAAAGUUUGCGGAUGACACAAUACUGGGAGGUAUUGCUAACACAGAGAAGGACCGGGUUAUAAUACAGGAAGAUCUGGAUGACCUUAUAAACUGGAGUAAUUGUAAUAGGAUGAAAUUUAAUAGUGAAAAGUGCAAGGUCAUGCAUUUAGGGAUUAAUAACAAGAGUUUUGGUUAUAUGCUGGAGACUCAUCAGUUGGAAGUAACAGAGUAAGAGAAGGACCUUGGAGUAUUGAUUGAUCACAGGAUGACUAUGAGCCGCCAAUGCGAUAUGGCAGUUAAAAAAGCUAAUGUGGUUUUGAGAUGCAUCAGGCGAGGUAUUUCCAGUAAAGAUAAAGGAGGUGUUAGAACCAUUAUACAAGGCAUUGGUGAGACCUCAUCUGGAAUACUGUGUGCAGUUCUGGUCUCCCAUGUUUAAGAAGAAUGAAUUCAAACUGGAACAGGUACAGAGAAGGGCUACUAGGAUGAUCCGAGGAAUGGAAAACCUGUCUUAUGAAAGGAGACUCAAAGAGCUUGGCUUGUUUAGCCAAACCAAAAGAAGGCUGAGGGGAGAUAUGAUUGCUCUUUAUAAAUAUAUCAGAGGGAUAAAUAUCAGGGAGGGAGAGGAAUUAUUUAAGCUCAGUACCAAUGUGGACACAAGAACAAAUGAAUAUAAACUGGACGCUAGGAAGUUUAGACUUGAAAUUAGAUGAAGGUUUCUAACCAUUGGAGGAGUGAAGUUCUGGAACAGCCUUCCAAGGGGAAUAGCUGGGGGCAAAAGACAUAUCUGGCUUCAAGACUAAGCUUGAUAAGUUUAUGAUGGGGAUGGUAUAAUGGGAUAGCCUAAUAUUGGCAAUUAACUGAUCUUUGAUUAUUAGCAGGUAAAUAUGCCCAGUGGUCUGUGAUGGGAUGUUAGAUGGAGUAGGAUCUGAGUUACUACAGAGAAUUCUUUCCUGGGUGUCUGAUUGAGAUUUAUCGAGUCCUCUUCCUCAUCUAAAAUGCUUGCAAUUUCAUCUUUACUGCCAAAUGGUUAUAUCUGGAGUAACAAUAUUAAGGAGACCAGAAGUGAAUUUGAAAUAUAACAAUGGAGUUUAAUUAAAGAGAUUAAUUUAACAACCUUGAGUUCUCAGCUGCCCGUGUUAUCAACAGCUCAAAGACUACAAAACCUCCAGAAGAAGCCACGAAAAAGCAAAGACGACCUUCUGCAAGCAGUUAUGGAUCACUCUGCCAGAGAGAAUCAAAAAGUGCAGGACUGGAGGGAAAGGGAAAGCAGGAUCUGCCAGAGAAACGCAGCGGCCAGGAAGAAAAGCACAAAGUAGCUGAUAAGCAUCCUGGUGCGCCAAGCGGACUCUAUCCAGGCGCUUGAAGCCAUGCAGGCAGAGCACUACCACGCCGCCCCCACCCCCAUCCCAAAGCUCUUUCCCUUGUGCCCCGAUGUCAGCUCCAAACCCCCUUCCCCAGCAUCCAGGUUCUUACCACCACCGGCUGCCUCCAACACCUGUACGUUCAUCAACCAGCCCUGAGAACUACGACCCUUACCCUCUUCACUCAACCCCCAUCACCAUGCAGUAUAGGCAUCUUGAAGUGCAGCAGUCAUUGCACAGCACUCCAGACAGGACAUAUACAAACCUGUGAUUGUACAGUUCCCCACCACACACCCCCUGCCCUUUUAGGUUCCCAAAAAGUUGUGUGUCUGUCAAUAAAGUUAUUUUCUUUUCAAUAAAUGAAUUCUUGGCUUUGAAAAGAGUCUUUAUUAUUGCAGAAAGUCAAAGAUAGCUUA